CCCCCCGCCCCAAGGCUGUCCUCUGAGCCGCUCUGGGACCUUGUGGAAAUUCUUUCCCUCAUGUGUUUUCAAUUAUGACCUCCCCUCCCGACUCCGGGCCUUCCAGGCUGCGUGGUCAGGCUGGUGUUCCCUCCUGGAGGGACAGCUCCUCCCGAAAGCCCAGGAGGCCACGUGCAAAGCUUUCUCCUCAGCUGUUGGCCUCACAUCAAAGCACAAAAUCCAUAUUUCAAGACUCCGAUCCCGCUCUAUUAGAGGUGUUUGGUGGAGGGUCAGUCUGUUUUAGAACAGACCUGUCUGAGAAUGUGUUUGCAUAUACUUUGGCCCUGACAAUGAAAGGCCCAGCCUGCUGGCACAGUGACGCCUCUGCCGAAGAGAAGCGUCUUACGUUCCGCCUUCAGAGCAGCAGAAGGGUUUUUGAUGCCGAUCACGCGGUUGGGAGACCAGUAGGAAUGAACCAGAGGAGACCAGCUGUGACUCAGAGGGAGGCUGCACCAUCAGCCCAGGGCCCCAAGGAGAGCAGAGCUGGCGCAGAGAUGGGCGUGACCCGUGCGUAAGCAAUAAUCCUUGGGAGAGAGACAGAGCAUGAAUGGGGGAGCGGCAGAGAGAGAGGGAGACACAGAAUCGGAAGC